rnacentral:rRNA from 1 species
CGCGAAGAACCUUACCAGGUCUUGACAUCUUUUGACCAUCUUAGAGAUAAGAUUUUCCCUUCGGGGACAAAGUGACAGGUGGUGCAUGGUUGUCGUCAGCUCGUGUCGUGAGAUGUUGGGUUAAGUCCCGCAACGAGCGCAACCCUUAUUGUUAGUUGCCAUCAUUCAGUUGGGCACUCUAGCGAGACUGCCGCAGACAAUGCGGAGGAAGGUGGGGAUGACGUCAAAUCAUCAUGCCCCUUAUGACCUGGGCUACACACGUGCUACAAUGGAGAGUACAACGAGUUGCGAAGUCGUGAGGCUAAGCUAAUCUCUUAAAGCUCUUCUCAGUUCGGAUUGUAGGCUGCAACUCGCCUACAUGAAGCCGGAAUCGCUAGUAAUCGCGGAUCAGCACGCCGCGGUGAAUACGUUCCCGGGUCUUGUACACACC